rnacentral:lncRNA from 1 species
GCUGGGUUUGCCAAUCAAGGCCUCGUACUUCAGCUCCCGGCCUGUCACCUUCUUGUAGAUGUUCUCCAAGCAGAGAAGGAAAGUGCCAUGGCCAAACCUCGGCAUCUUGGCUUCAGCCAUCCAUAAGAGAUCCAUGUUGCAGGCGAGGACAGGCAGAUGGGGGUACGGUAUACCUUCUGGCUCUGCCCCAGGGUUCCCAUUGCUCAAGAGCACGUCAAUAAUAAGUUGCAGGCUUGUCU